AUUGCAGACCCAGCCAUCUCCCCCCAUGUGUACCCAUUGGUGCCCUGCGAAUGCCAGGACCAGGUCCCCAUUGGCUGCUUGGCCAAGGGCUUCUUCCCAGCGCCCAUCUCCAUCACUUGGGUCUCCAACGUGGGCGGGGACACCGAGACCUUCCCCAGCCAAUGGGUGCAGGGCUCCUACAGCGCCAGCUCCCAAUUGGUCGUCCCGGCCACCAGUUUGGAAGGGGGGAGGUUCCAGUGCAAGGUGGAGCACAGCAGCAGCCAAAGCAGCAUCACGGAGGUCAUCCAAGGUCCCGACCUGUGCUCCCCGCCCCCUCUGUCCAUGAUGCUCUUGGCCUCCCCCAACCAUGGCGACCCCUCGGGGUCCCUGCUGCUGCUGUGCCUGCUGGGGGGCCCCGGGGCCGGGGGGGCCGGGGUGCAGUGGGCGCAGGGGGAGGAGCCCCUGGAGGGGCGCACGGGGCGCUGGGAGGGGGCCGUGAGCGCCGUGAACGUGAGCAGGGCCCAAUGGGAGCGCGGAGCCCGGUUCUCGUGCGGGGUCACACGGGGAGGGGAGCAGAGGAGGGAGGAGGUGAGCGCCGGAGGCUUCUGUGCAGGGACCAAGCCCCUGGUGGAGGCCUCAAUCCUGCCCCCAUCCCUGGAGGACCUGUACCUGCACCACAACUCCAGCCUCACCUGCGUGGUUUCCAACCUCCAAUCCCAUUGGGGCGUCAAGUUCACCUGGGGGAGGGACCAAGGCAGCUCAUUGGUCGGCGCGGCGGGGCCCGUGGAGGAGCUGCCCAAUGGGCUCUAUCGGCUCAGCAGCUCCCUGAGCGUCUGCGCUGAGGAGUGGAACUCGGGGGAGGGGUUCUCCUGCAGCGUCAGCGCCCCCGAGCUCCAGGAGCCAAUCACCAGGGCCAUCCGGAAGGAGACAGCCGCCGUCGUGAGGCCGCCAUCGGUGUACGUGUUCCCGCCGCCCCCCGAGGAGCUGUCCCUGCAGGAGACGGCCACCUUGACCUGCUUGGCCACCGGCUUCACCCCAAGGGCCAUCCUGGUGACCUGGACCCAGCAGGACCGGCCCGUGCCCCCCCGGAGCUUCUCCACCUUCGGGCCCCAAGGCGACGGCGAGGCCUUCAGCGUCUACAGCCUGCUGCGGGUACCGGCGUCGGCAUGGCAACGGGGGGACGCCUUCUCCUGCGUGGUUGGCCACGAGGGGCUCCCCUUGACCUUCAUCCGGAGGAGCACGGACAGGGCCUCGGGUAAAGCCACCGCGCUCAACGUCUCCCUGGUGCUCAGCGGCGCCGACGGCACCUGCUACUAA